AGUACGUGAAACUGCUUAGAGGUUAAACCCGAUGAACCUGAAUAUCCAUUAUGGAAAAUUCAUCACUAAUAAUAUAAUAUGAAAAAAAUAUUUUAAAAAUAGUGUGCAAUUUUUCCAUAUAAGGACAUUGUAAUCUGUUAAUGUUAUAAAUAUUUAUCAUAAGAUCCAUUACACUAGUUUAUUCAAAUUGAUUAUUUUUCGGAUAAUUAACAUAGAAUAAAUGUUUUGGAUUUGAUAAAUCAUUGACAGAUAUAAUUAUAUAAUGUGCUUAAAUUUUUCGGAAUUUUAUCAAUGGUAGUAAAUAUUUUAUUUUCUAUUUAAUUGAUAUGCACUAUUAUGAUUAACAAUGCGAGAGAUUCAGGAUACCUUCGGGACCCGUCUUGAAACACGGACCAAGGAGUCUAACAUAUGUGCAAGUCAUUGGGUAUUUUUAAUAAAACCCAAUGGCGUAAUUAACUUAACUGCUAAUUAAUGGGAUUAAUUUAUAUUUUGUUAUGAAAUAUUUAUUCAAUCCCGGGGCGUUCUAUAUAGUUAUGUAUAAUAAUAUUUAUAUUAUUUAUACCUCUAACUUGAGC
rnacentral:rRNA from 1 species